GAUGAACGCUAGCGGCAGGCCUAAUACAUGCAAGCCGAACGGCAAGUCUUUUAGCAAUAGAAGACCUAGAGUGGCGUAAGGGUGCGUAACACGUAUGCAAUCUGCCCUCAACAGGAGGAUAGCUCCCCGAAAGGGGAAUUAAGCCUCCAUAGGAUCGUAAUGUGGCAUCACAUAGCGAUUAAACUACCAGGGGUUGAGGAUGAGCAUGCGCAUGAUUAGUUAGUUGGCGGGGUAACGGCCCACCAAGGCUACGACGGGUAAGCGGUCUGAAAGGACGACCGCUCACAAUGGCACUGAGACACGGGCCAUACUCCUACGGGAGGCAGCAGUGGGGAAUUUUGCGCAAUGGGGGAAACCCUGACGCAGCAAUGCCGCGUGGAGGACGAAGGUCUUCGGAUUGUAAACUCCUUUUGCGGGGGACAAAUAGCGGCGUGAAUAACGCCGACUGAUGGUACUCCGUGAAUAAGCCACGGCUAACUUCGUGCCAGCAGCC
rnacentral:rRNA from 1 species